GAUGAACGCUGGCGGCGUGCUUAAUACAUGCAAGUCGAACGGAGGGUUAGCAAUAACUCUUAGUGGCGAACGGGUGAGUAACGCGUGGGUGACCUGCCCCGAAGACGGGGAUAACAGUUCGAAAGGACUGCUAAUACCGGAUGAAGUUAUGCGAGUUAGAGAGGCAUAACAAAAGGAGCAAGCCGCUUCGGGAGGGGCCGGCGGCCCAUCAGCUAGUAGGUAAGGAAAAGGCUUACAAAGGCGAAGGCGGGUAGGGGACCUGCGAGGGUGAUCCACCAAACUGGAACUGAAACACGGGACAGAGACCUACGGGUGACAGCAGUAGGGAAUAUUGCACAAUGGGCGAAAGCCUGAUGCGGCAACGCCGCGUGCGCGAAGAAGGCCUUGGGGUCGUAAGGCGCUUUUCGGGGAGAUGAGGAAGGACAGUAUCCCCGGAAUAAGGCUCGGCUAACUACGUGCCAGCCGCCGCGGUAAUAC
rnacentral:rRNA from 1 species